rnacentral:tRNA from 1 species
UGCGGAGUAGAGCAGUCUGGUAGCUCGCGAGGCUCAUAACCUUGAGGUCGUAGGUUCGAAUCCUAUUUCCGCUA